rnacentral:rRNA from 1 species
CCUACGGGGGGCUGCAGUGAGGAAUAUUGGUCAAUGGUCGGGAGACUGAACCAGCCAAGCCGCGUGAGGGAUGAAGGUACAGAGUAUCGUAAACCUCUUUUGUCAGGGAACAAAGGCGGGGACGUGUCCCCGGAUGAGUGUACCUGAAGAAAAAGCAUCGGCUAACUCCGUGCCAGCAGCCGCGGUAAUACGGAGGAUGCGAGCGUUAUCCGGAUUUAUUGGGUGUAACGGGUGCGCAGGCGGGUCGGUAAGUCAGGCGGCAAAGGCCGGGGCUCAACCCCGGGCCGCCCGUUGAAACUGGCAGUCUCGAGUUGGAGAGAGGUAUGCGGAAUGCGCGGUGUAGCGGUGAAAUGCAUAGAUAUCGCGCAGAACUCCGAUUGCGAAGGCAGCAUGCCGGCUCCACACUGACGCUGAGGCACGAAAGCGUGGGUAUCGAACAGGAUUAGAUACCCGGGUAGUC